rnacentral:rRNA from 1 species
AAUCAACGCUGGCGGCGUGCCUCAGACAUGCAAGUCGAACGAUUAAAGCUCUCUUCGGAGAGUGUAUAGAGUGGCGCACGGGUGAGUAACACGUAAGUAAUCUACCUUUGAGUGGGGAAUAACGUCCGGAAACGGACGCUAAUACCGCAUAAUGCAGCGGCAUCGCAAGAUGACAGUUGUUAAAGAUUUAUCGCUUGAAGAGGAGCUUGCGGCAGAUUAGCUAGUUGGUAAGGUAAUGGCUUACCAAGGCUACGAUCUGUAACCGGUCUAAGAGGACGGUCGGUCACACUGACACUGAAUAACGGGUCAGACUCCUACGGGAGGCAGCAGUCGGGAAUUUUGGGCAAUGGGCGAAAGCCUGACCCAGCAACGCCGCGUGAAGGAUGAAGUAUUCGGUAUGUAAACUUCGAAAGAAUGGGAAGAAUAAAUGACGGUACCAUUUAUAAGGUCCGGCUAACUACGUGCCAGCCCGCCG